CUUGAAAGAGGGUUAAACAGUACGUGAAAUUGUUGAAAGGGAAGCGCUUGUGACCAGACUUGGGCGCGGCGGAUCAUCCGGGGUUCUCUCCGGUGCACUUCGCCGCGUUCAGGCCAGCAUCAGUUCGGCGCGGGGGAAAAAGGCUUCGGGAACGUGGCUGCUCCGGCAGUGUUAUAGCCCGUUGCAUAAUACCCUGCGCUGGACUGAGGACCGCGCAUCUGCAAGGAUGCUGGCGUAAUGGUCACCAGCGACCCGUCUUGAAACACGGACCAAGACGGCC
rnacentral:rRNA from 1 species